rnacentral:rRNA from 1 species
AGUGAACGCUGGCGGUAGGCCUAACACAUGCAAGUCGAACGGUAGCACAGUAAGAGCUUGCUCUUACGGGUGGCGAGUGGCGGACGGGUGAGGAAUACAUCGGAAUCUACUUUUUCGUGGGGGAUAACGUAGGGAAACUUACGCUAAUACCGCAUACGACCUACGGGUGAAAGCAGGGGAUCUUCGGACCUUGCGCGAUUGAAUGAGCCGACGUCGGAUUAGCUAGUUGGCGGGGUAAAGGCCCACCAAGGCGACGAUCCGUAGCUGGUCUGAGAGGAUGAUCAGCCACACUGGAACUGAGACACGGUCCAGACUCCUACGGGAGGCAGCAGUGGGGAAUAUUGGACAAUGGGCGCAAGCCUGAUCCAGCCAUACCGCGUGGGUGAAGAAGGCCUUCGGGUUGUAAAGCCCUUUUGUUGGGAAAGAAAAGCAGCAGGUUAAUACCCCGCUGUUCUGACGGUACCCAAAGAAUAAGCACCGGCUAACUUCGUG